UGGGAACAAAAAUCCUUGAUGAAGAUGGUCUGUUGGAUCUGAUUCGAACUAUGCCAGGCAAGAAAUCCAAGUAUGAAAUAGCUGCUGAAGCUGAGAUGAAGAAAGAAAAGUCCAAAUUGGAGCGAACACCCAAAAAAAAUGACCAGGGAAAAAGAAAAGUUAGCCCAACUGAGAAGGAGUCAGCGUCUAAAAAGAGCAAACCGACCCCCCAAAA